rnacentral:SRP_RNA from 1 species
GCCGGGCGCAGUGGCGUGUGCCUGUAGUCCCAGCUACUCAGGGGGCUGAGGUGGGAGGAUCGCUUGAACCCAGGAGUUCUGGGCUACAGUGUGCUACGUCGACUGCGUGUCCGCACUAAAUUUGGCAUCAAUAUGGUGACCUCCCAGGAGCAGGGAACCACCAGGUUGCCUAAGGAGAGGUGAACUGGCCCAGGUUGGAAACGGAGCAGGUCAAAACUCCGGUGCUGAUCAAUAGUGGGAUCGCGCCUGUGAAUAGCCACUGCACUCCAGCCUAGGCAACAUAGCGAGACCCUGUCUCU